rnacentral:rRNA from 1 species
UACGGAGGGUGCAAGCGUUAAUCGGAAUUACUGGGCGUAAAGCGUACGUAGGCGGCUUGUUAAGCAAGAUGUGAAAUCCCCGGGCUCAACCUGGGAAUGGCAUUUUGAACUGGCAGGCUCGAGUUCUGAAGAGGGUGGUAGAAUUUCCAGUGUAGCGGUGAAAUGCGUAGAUAUAGGGAGGAACACCGGUUGCGAAGGCGGCUACCUGGCCGGUAACUGACGCUGAGGUGCGAGAGCGUGGGGAGCAAACAGG